AAUUUUCGUGGAUUGCUGAAAACUUGCAUUUUCGUGGAUAUUUGCUUUCGUGGUUUUGCCAAUCUGUGUAUACAAUGCAUAUUGAAAAUAUGUUAUUCGUUGAUCAUUUGAAUUCGUGGUUCACUUGUACCCACGAAACCUUCGAAAAUUGGAUCCAACGAAUAAUAAUGAGAAUUCAGAUACGGUUGUUAACGUCUAAAUGAGAGGAUCCAAAUAUGUAAAACAGUUACAUUAGACAGAACGCGGACAUGAUUUUUAGAAACGAAAAGACUAGCAAUAACGUUCUAAACAUAGAAUACAGAGUAAAGGUAGAUAUUGUGUGUACUGGUAAGUAUUAUAUUUUAUAGAUAUGUAAUUUAUUACUCAAUCAGCAUCACCAGAACAAGGAUUACAUAUUUCAUUUCCCUAAUGUAUAAGUAAGACGAUGUGGUAAGAUUGUCAAUGGCAAAGAUUUUAGCGAUCAUAGACCAAGGCUACGACCUCAUUAGCAAAAGUCGGAUAAAAAAGGCCACAACAUGGCAAUAUGAAAAACAAAUCAAACGAAAACAGCCUAAUGUAUGUAAAAAAACACACGCCAUACAGCAACCAACUACAACCACUGCAUGAAUUGAAGGCUCGUGACUUGGAACAGGCAAACACAUAAGCCCUCCUUCGUAAAUUUUACGGACGCC
rnacentral:lncRNA from 1 species